rnacentral:rRNA from 1 species
GACGUAGGAGGCGAGCGUUGUCCGGAUUCAUUGGGCGUAAAGAGCGCGCAGGCGGCUUGGUAAGUCGGAUGUGAAAUCCCGAGGCUCAACCUCGGGUCUGCAUCCGAUACUGCCCGGCUAGAGGUAGGUAGGGGAGAUCGGAAUUCCUGGUGUGAGUCGGUGGAAAUGACGCAGAUAUCAGGAGGAACACCGGUGGCGAAGGCGGAUCUCUGGGCCUUACCUGACGCUCAGGCGCGAAAGCUAGGGGAGCGAACUGG